GGCUCAGGAUGAACGCUAGCUACAGGCUUAACACAUGCAAGUCGAGGGGCAGCGGGAUUGAAGCUUGCUUCAAUUGCCGGCGACCGCGCACGGGUGAGUAACGCGUAUCCAACCUUCCGUACACUCAGGGAUAGCCUUUCGAAAGAAAGAUUAAUACCUGAUGGUAUGAUGAGAUUGCAUGAUAGCAUCAUUAAAGAUUUAUCGGUGUACGAUGGGGAUGCGUUCCAUUAGGUAGUAGGCGGGGUAACGGCCCACCUAGCCGACGAUGGAUAGGGGUUCUGAGAGGAAGGUCCCCCACAUUGGAACUGAGACACGGUCCAAACUCCUACGGGAGGCAGCAGUGAGGAAUAUUGGUCAAUGGACGAGAGUCUGAACCAGCCAAGUAGCGUGAAGGAUGAAGGUCCUACGGAUUGUAAACUUCUUUUAUAAGGGAAUAAACCCUCCCACGUGUGGGAGCUUGUAUGUACCUUAUGAAUAAGCAUCGGCUAACUCCGUG
rnacentral:rRNA from 1 species